UUCGGGGUACUCGAGUGGCGAACGGGUGAGUAACACGUGGGUGAUCUGCCCUGCACUUUGGGAUAAGCCUGGGAAACUGGGUCUAAUACCGAAUAUGACCAUGCGCCUCCUGGUGUGUGGUGGAAAGCUUUUGCGGUGUGGGAUGGGCCCGCGGCCUAUCAGCUUGUUGGUGGGGUAAUGGCCUACCAAGGCGACGACGGGUAGCCGGCCUGAGAGGGUGACCGGCCACACUGGGACUGAGAUACGGCCCAGACUCCUACGGGAGGCAGCAGUGGGGAAUAUUGCACAAUGGGCGCAAGCCUGAUGCAGCGACGCCGCGUGAGGGAUGACGGCCUUCGGGUUGUAAACCUCUUUCAGCACAGACGAAGCGCAAGUGACGGUAUGUGCAGAAGAAGGACCGGCCAACUACGUGCCAGCAGCCGCGGUAAUACGUAGGGUCCGAGCGUUGUCCGGAAUUACUGGGCGUAAAGAGCUCGUAGGUGGUUUGUCGCGUUGUUCGUGAAAACUCACAACUCAAUUGUGGGCGUGCGGGCGAUACGGGCAGACUUGAGUACUGCAGGGGAGACUGGAAUUCCUGGUGUAGCGGUGGAAUGCGCAGAUAUCAGGAGGAACACCGGUGGCGAAGGCGGGUCUCUGGGCAGUAACUGACGCUGAGGAGCGAAAGCGUGGGGAGCGAACAGGAUUAGAUACCCUGGUAGUCCACGCCGUAAACGGUGGGUACUAGGUGUGGGUUUCCUUCCUUGGGAUCCGUGCCGUAGCUAACGCAUUAAGUACCCCGCCUGGGGAGUACGGCCGCAAGGCUAAAACUCAAAGAAAUUGACGGGGGCCCGCACAAGCGGCGGAGCAUGUGGAUUAAUUCGAUGCAACGCGAAGAACCUUACCUGGGUUUGACAUGCACAGGACGCCGGCAGAGAUGUCGGUUCCCUUGUGGCCUGUGUGCAGGUGGUGCAUGGCUGUCGUCAGCUCGUGUCGUGAGAUGUUGGGUUAAGUCCCGCAACGAGCGCAACCCUU
rnacentral:rRNA from 2 species